rnacentral:rRNA from 1 species
GCAGUCGAGCGGACAGAUGGGAGCUUGCUCCCUGAUGUUAGCGGCGGACGGGUGAGUAACACGUGGGUAACCUGCCUGUAAGACUGGGAUAACUCCGGGAAACCGGGGCUAAUACCGGAUGGUUGUUUGAACCGCAUGGUUCAGACAUAAAAGGUGGCUUCGGCUACCACUUACAGAUGGACCCGCGGCGCAUUAGCUAGUUGGUGAGGUAACGGCUCACCAAGGCAACGAUGCGUAGCCGACCUGAGAGGGUGAUCGGCCACACUGGGACUGAGACACGGCCCAGACUCCUACGGGAGGCAGCAGUAGGGAAUCUUCCGCAAUGGACGAAAGUCUGACGGAGCAACGCCGCGUGAGUGAUGAAGGUUUUCGGAUCGUAAAGCUCUGUUGUUAGGGAAGAACAAGUGCCGUUCAAAUAGGGCGGCACCUUGACGGUACCUAACCAGAAAGCCACGGCUAACUACGUGCCAGCAGCCGCGGUAAUACGUAGGUGGCAAGCGUUGUCCGGAAUUAUUGGGCGUAAAGGGCUCGCAGGCGGUUUCUUAAGUCUGAUGUGAAAGCCCCCGGCUCAACCGGGGAGGGUCAUUGGAAACUGGGGAACUUGAGUGCAGAAGAGGAGAGUGGAAUUCCACGUGUAGCGGUGAAAUGCGUAGAGAUGUGGAGGAACACCAGUGGCGAAGGCGACUCUCUGGUCUGUAACUGACGCUGAGGAGCGAAAGCGUGGGGAGCGAACAGGAUUAGAUACCCUGGUAGUCCACGCCGUAAACGAUGAGUGCUAA